rnacentral:rRNA from 1 species
AGAGUUUGAUCAUGGCUCAGGAUGAACGCUGGCGGCGUGCCUAAUACAUGCAAGUCGAACGAGGUGCUUUUGUAGCAAUACGAGAGUAUCCUAGUGGCGAACGGGUGAGUAACGCGUUGGUGACCUACCCCAAAGUGUGGGAUAACAGUCCGAAAGGAUUGCUAAUACCGCAUGUGGUCAUUGGAUUUAGAAACUGAUGACUAAAGGAGCAAUUCGCUUUGGGAGGGACCUGCGUCCCAUCAGCUAGUUGGUGAGGUAAUGGCUCACCAAGGCGACGACGGGUAGGGGACCUGAGAGGGUGGCCCCCCACAAUGGAACUGAAACACGGUCCAUACACCUACGGGUGGCAGCAGUAGGGAAUAUUGCACAAUGGGCGAAAGCCUGAUGCAGCAACGCCGCGUGUGUGAUGAAGGCCUUCGGGUCGUAAAGCACUUUUCUGGGAGAUGAGGAAGGACAGUAUCCCAGGAAUAAGUCUCGGCUAACUACGUGCCAGCAGCCGCGGUAAUUC